AGGAUAUUCACCAACUCAGAAAAUGGAAACUGACCUUGAGUCACACUUUUUAAAGGAAUUGGCAUGCCCUGCAGCAGGGUUGGACACCAGUCUACAGAGACUGAGGAGAGUAAAUCCACCAGAAAAGAGCCUUAGAAGAGGGUAUGAAAAUCCAGUGAUAUGAAUGAAUGGAAUAUGAACCAGUGUGCACC